AGCAUUUCAGAACUUGGAGCCCGUGGGAAUAAAGUUUCCUUUUGCAAAAAGCUCCCAAAAAUGUUAAAAACUGUUCAGGGCAAAGUUAAAUUAGUUUGAGAUACUGCUAUGUUGGAUUCAAGAACUGAUGCUGGACUGAACACAUGUAGGCAUAUAUUUGUGCACAGUUGAAUAAAAGGAGGGGGGUGAUGGGGGGGGGGGGGAGGAAAGAAUAGAAGGAAACUUCUGGAUAUUACAUUAAGAUUGUAAUUAUGUCUGCACAGUGUCGUCUUCUUAUUAUUAAUCUAUAUGUCAUUGCUUUUCCAAAAAUCACAGAAUAGAUGUUAUUAUAUGUAAGUACUAAAAAUCAGAUGUAUUGAUUGUACCACCAGUCUCUACAGAUCUCUCCCCUGCAAGUUAAGGCUGGAGCUCAUCUGUUUGGCAAUUGCAUUCUUUCUUUGACCAAGAAUAGAUUUGCACCGGGAUCACACAACUGCAGGCAACAUGGAGAAGUCCUCAUUUGAGCUUCCAUUUUCUUAUCCCUUUGAUGCUAGAGUCUCUGUAAAUGCAAAUGGCAAUCCAAAGACCCAUUUGCUCGACAGGGCGCCCAAGCAUCUGAUGGAUGCGGUGGGGCUGUCAGAGGUUCCUGCCUGUGCUGACUCCGUCCUGCAGUGAGGUGUGAUUGAGGAGCGCUGGGCAUUUACUGAUGCGGAACUGCAAUUUCCCUCAUCUAGCCAACUGCCCUGCUCUCUGGCUGGGGGUGUGCAAUUUGCAUAAUCGUUACCCAGGUACGGUGCAGUGUGUGCAUCCCCUACUCUGGCAAUCAGCCACGUUCACCCAAUCAGGGAUUUACAUAAUCCCUUUGCAGCUCUUUCCCAGCAGCUUCUGUCUGGAUAUGCAAAUCCCUCCAUUCUCGUUGGCUGCUGCAAUUCCUCUGUGUCGAUUGGUUUCUCUGCUGUUUCAUUUUUCAGACAGUUUCCAGCAAUAAGAUCUUUCCUUUAGCUCCUGAUGUCCCUUUCCAUGAAAAAGAGAGACACCACAUUGACAUCUCCAUGCAGAUUGGUCUCUCCAGUAGCUUCUUCUCAAAUUCCCUUUGGAUCCCUGACCCCAUCCCACCAGGGUAGGGCUCUGGCUCCCAGGACAACUUUGGUUUCAUCCUUUCUGUGGUUCCUCCAGGAGAUCAGUGUCCCAUUUUGCACUUGAGUUAUGCACAGUAACGUACAGACCUGGGCCAUGGAGUGUCAUUUCUCCUUUGGGAAGGUGAAAGGGAAAGGAGGGAACAGGAAACAAGGCGUCAUUUAUGAAUGGAUAGAUCACUUCCAAAGCUACAGGUCUUAAUUACCUUCCUGUACUUAAUCAAUGUAUUUUGGUCUCGGAGCACAGAGUUUAACGUGCCUUUGGGGCAACACAAUACCUAAAGGCAGCUAACACAACCUCCACAAUACCCAAGGCCCUCUGUAUGCUAAAUAGCUGUGAAAUGUGGGGGAAGAAUCCUGACUUCAUCAAAGUCAGCAAACACUAGAAGCAUGCUGUACGAAAGCAGUAAAUUGUUGUGGCUGAUUUCUCCUUCAACCCAUUUUAAGUAGGUGCACAUAACUCCACUUCCUUCUAAUGAAUUAUACGAGCGCACAAGAAAAUCACAUAUAAUGAGUGCAUGAUGAAUCAUCAGACUCAAAAUAAAGUCGAUUACCAACACCAUCAUAAUGCGGAGGUCAUGGCUUCAAUCUGGAAAAAAAGGAUCUCAAAGCUAAUUAAUUUAUUUCGGGAAAAGAAAACACACGCACAAAGGGCAUUAACUUUGACUGCUAAUGGAGGAAAAGGCGCUCGCAGUCUGGCUUCUGAGGUCAUGGGCUGUUUGUGAUAUACAACACCUUUUCCAGGACCUUUCAAGGAAAUAAGCCCAGCAGUGAUGUAUGGCACCACCUAAUAGUCUGAGGAGAGCCUUUGGCUGACCAGUUAAAUAAUUGUGCGCUCAGAUUCCCCACAUUUUACAGUGUCACGAAAUGCCAUAAUCCAUAAAUCUUAGGUAAAUACCUACUUAUCUCUAAAGCACCUCUACAUAUUGUUGACAACGUUUUUGUAGAACUGUAAAUUCUUACUAGUUACAGGUAUUUUAAUGUUUCUGCAACUCAGAUAUUUACUGAUCUGCCUUAGGAAGAAAUAUGCCUGAGGCAAAAUUUUUACUUUAUUGCCAUCUGUAAUAGGCAGAUAUUUUUCUUGCAAGGGAUUUCCUGCAAUAAAUACCAUUGUCAUUCUUACUACUGAAGUUGUUGCCUUGAAACACCUUGUCCUGAAAUACUGCCUUUCCAAGCCAUUAUUCUGUAAUUACUGCAGUUUUUGACCUACUUACACACACCAUGCAGAGUGUUGCUCUUUUCAGUAUUCUCAGGGAAAAAAAAAAAAACAAAAAAACUAAAAAAUGUAUUUAUUAUUCAGAUGAAAAUGAUUAAAUUAGUGCUGCCAGGAGCCAAGUGCAAAACCUCUUUAAUAGUGUCUGAGGCUGCUUUUACUUUGGCAUCAGAUCAUAUUCUAAUUCAUAUCAAAUCGCUCUUCCAUUUUGCAGUUUCAUCCCAAAACAACCAUAUCUUCAUAUGGAAAUAUCUGUCGCUUCUGUUACUGCUGUUCUGUUAUUUCUGUCCUACAUCUCAUUUACAAUAGAACAGUAUUCAUGUUGGAUAUGUGGAAACACAAGUGAAGUAGAGAAAAAGAAAGCUUCAGUAGAGAUAGCCUAGCCCAAAACAGUAGCCACAUUCAGGCACUUUGUUCUAUGCCCAAAACAGUCCCAAUAGUUCAUGUCUGGGUACAGAGGAUAGACUAUUCUGGGCCCCGUCAUUGAUUUAUCUUCAUUACUUACAAUGCCUUCUACAUAGAGGACUACAGUUAACGUCUUCGCAAGGAAGUCUACAGUAAUCUCAACCAGCUGAACAAAAGCAUACAGUUGAAAUUAGUCCUUGCAAAAUAUCAAAAAUUUGCAGAGAAACCAGGUGAGUGUGGCAGAUGAAGUCCAUCUAUUGACAGGUGUGAAGCGUUGCUAAUUCCUCAUUUCAGAUUUGCCCCUUUGCCAGUCAGACUAUUUUAAUACUGUGCUUGAUAAUAUAUUUUUAUCAUGCAGAAUGCAAAAAAAAACCAGCUUUACUAAUAUCCCAUGUGCAGUCUUCUAGUUUAAUCUGUUUUCCCCAAACUUUCUUUUUCCUUCAUUCUGUCAUGUAAUGCUUGCUUUGCAUGAAAUGAAAUGUUUGCUUUCUCAUUGGAGUGCUGUAACUUCCUGCUUGCAACAACAAGAAGCCACGCUCCUUAAGCUGCAGUUGCUAUUAAUAAGGGCUUUGAUGACUGACGAGUCCCUACUUCAUGCCUCUUUAUUUUACCCAAGGGAGACAGCUAAGCUUUACUGUUUGAUUUGUAUACAUAGACGUUCUGAUAGCACUGGCCACUUCCACUUCAGCUGGAGAGGAAACACAUUCCUCGUUGGCUCCUGAUUAAACAUUUGUUAUGCAAUUUUGAUGUCCAAUCAGAAUCUCUUACUUUCUAACUACUUAAACGUUUCUCUGAUUUGUUGUCUUUUUCUAAUCUCAUGUAGUCUUCCGAGUGUAGGAACAAAAAUAACUCCCAUGCCUGGUUCUUCCUUACCUUGCCCCGUUCUUCCAAAAUGUCCGUGUGUAAUCACUGUGCUGUUAAACCACCUAUCCAGAACUCCUUUGAAAUUUACUUCUUAUCUCCCUUGGAAGUAAAUCACAGUUUAAUCACCUGCCAAAGCUGGUAUUAAGUGUCCAAUUAAAAAACAAACCUAGCAGCUUAUCACUCUAUGUAGUAAGGAACAGGUGUGUUUUAGGUGAGUCCUGGGCCAAUUUCUAUUGAAUUAUCUGGUAGGACUCCCACUGGCUUCAGAGGGUACGGGAUGAGGCAGAUGACAGAGGAUUUCUUUGGAGUAAGAACUUGAUGGAUGUCUUCUGAGCCUGGACAGCUCCCCCGAUGCUGAUUGAAGGUUGCAGAUCCAAAAUUCCUGAGGAUUUGUCCCUUUCCAUGCUGUUUCGCAGCCAUACAGCUGUGAUGUUGCACAUUGAGAAGAACUGGAAGAGGCAGCAACCUGAAAGAAAUGCCAUUAGGAAAAACGGCUGGUAAGCAGGGGGAUUGCUGAGAGGUACAUCCCAACCAGGUGGCUUUCUCACUGGUCCAAGCGUCCUAGCCCUGUUUUAACACAGUGAAUACCCAGUGGUGUUGACGUUGCUGCCUGCCUGAUGGAUUCAGUAUGACAUUUGUUCUGGCUGCACCACUGUGGUUAUUCCAUUAUUCAUGUGAACGAAGUCGGAACGACAUGCAAAUGACACCAACACAUUCUUCCAAGGACGUGUUCAGAUGCCAUCAUGGGACAUUUAGAUGAGUUUAGGCUGCAGUGCUGAGUUUUCCCACCCCUCCAUGGGACGUUUCUAACACUGUGCAUAAAAAUUUCUAAAUGUCAAAGCACAGGAGACUGUGAUGGAAUGGAAACUUAAAGUCUUCCACUGUAUUUCUGAUCCACUCUGCUAUUACAGUGUACACAGCCCUUUCCAACUGUUGUUGUUGCAGAUGGAUAUGUCUGGGUCAGAGCCUGAAGACCUUGCCCAAGAAAAACUCCUGCUGAACUCAACUCCUGGGUGAGAAGGAAAGGCAGACGCUAAGAGUCUGUUCAAAUAAAUCAGAGCUGAUCAUCAGUGAGUGAUGAAAUGACCAUUUUUGCACGAUGAUAUGUACACAUUUGGUUGUUUGAGUUUUUUGGGUUUUCUUUUUUUUUUUUUUUUUGGAGUUACAUUCAUUUCAGUCAUCCUGUUAAAUGAAAAACAGAUGCCAGCAUCGUGUAUUAAAGCUCACAAAGAUAGAUUUUCACUUUUCAUUUAGUGGGUGUUUUUAUCAAUAAUACACAUGAAAAGGGUCUGGGAAGUUUUAUUACAUUCAUUUAGCCACCAUAAAUCAGCACAGAAUGCAAAAUUCAUUUAAAUUAUCACCUUAGGGCCAACAUAGGAAUGAUAAAGCGUUAUGUUCCAAUCCUUAUCAUGGAUUUGGUGAAAAUUCUCUCUUUAUACAUCAGUGAAGUGAUCACAAGGGAGUUAGGACUUACAGACCCUGAAAGUUUUUCUCUUUCCUCUAGAGAAGACUGGAAAGCAAAAUCAAAAGCAACUCAUGGUUGAGUGUGUUGUCAGCUGCCUGGGUCAGUGCAGAGGAGAGAUGUGGCUACAUGGUGUUUUCUGGCUACAAAGGUGGGACUAUGGGCUCCUUCAGCUGGUGCUUGUAGCUCUACAGGGCUGCAAACCCUGGUCUGGUCCCUGCUCUGUUGGCCAAGAUAGUGGCAGUCACAGAUGCUUCCCAGUCCAGCCCCAGACAUCUCACAUCUCAGCCCUGCUUUACAGGAAUCCCCUGUGGCUGUGUGAUUGCUGCCACCCUCAUACAGUUGUAUAAUUCCCUCUUGUGAAUUAAAAAUAAUAAUAGCUAUUGUUGUGUUUUUUGUUCUUAUGGUUAUUAAUUUCUUGCUCAAAGAGUUCUUUGGCCUUCCUAUGGAGAUGGCCAGCAACAAUGGCAAGCAGAAACCUUGUUUUGUUAGAACACUGUUAGAAUACUGCCAGAUGUCCCCUAAAGCCAGAUCUGAGACCACCAGUUUGUUCCAGAGAGGAUAUGCUCAAUAACUAUCAGAUGAUUGUGACUAAUCGGUUGGUGGAGCUGAAUUAGCAGUCUAGGAGUGAAAGGAUUUAUUUUUUUGUUUGCUUUUUUAAUCUCAACACGAAUUCUCAGAGCCAGAGUUGUCCCAUUUUUGCCCCUCCAUCACGCUGUGGUCAUGCUUAUUCAUCAGAAUGGUUUGAAAUUCCUUUUUCUGCUGCUUUGAGACCAGAAGCCUCUUUGUUCCUUAAUAUUUUCCUCUCCUUGGUGUAUUUUAGAAUGGUUCCCUAACUCUGUCUUGUUAAACCUAAUUGGACAGGACCUUAAUCAGGGUGACUACAUCACAUGUCAUGUUUUCGCCCUCUCUGACCAGUCCUGCAGCCACUUCCAGGAGCUAUCCUUCUGGAGAAAAUGCUUCUUAGGAAGUAUAAAUGUUUGGAAAACAGAUUAGCUCCAAAUGUGACUGGCCACUCACCCAUAAAUCAUGACCGGCCUACUUUCCCAUGCUUUGUUUCUUGUACCAGUCAAAGGAAAGCUAAAAACAAAAUAGAUUAAAUGUUUUCACAGCGUAGCAUCAAAGGCUAUAAUUUUGUCCAUUCACGUAAUUUAAACAAGAUCAGACUUACUGAGUACUUGGAAGAGACCCACUGUAAAUUCCCAGGAAACCUAAGUAUUUCAGGAACGAGCGGUGUCUGUGCAAAGUGGGCAGUCAGUGCUGAAGCGAUGCCACGGUGUGGUUUUCAGGGAAAAUCGAGAAAAAAUUAAUCAGCCUGAUGAGCUCCGGUCAAAACAAGGGAAUAUUUUGGAUAUAAGAUUUAUGGUUUUUGGUUAAAAGCGUGAGUCAUUCACUACAGCAAAGAGCUUUGAAGGGGAAAAUGGUGCUUUCCAAUCACCGAGUAUUGUUUGUAUACAGUUUUAUUUUACUACUGGCUAUUCUUUUGACUGAAAUGCAAAGUUAGGUUCUUGAUCUCCAGAUACUUUUCAAAGCAUUAAGAACGUAGCUGGAGGAAUAUACAAUGUGAGCUAAAUAUCCAGAGAAAACCAGCCUAUUUUUCUGCUUGCAAAUUGUCACAGCAAAACAUGGCUGCUCCAAGUGUGGAAGCUCGUGAGUCGUAACACUUUGCUCAUCUGCAGUGCUAACUAGGAAGAUGAGAAACCCUCAACUAAAAAAAAAUAGAGAAGGCUGUGGAGUGGAGGGCUUCCCCAGACCUUUCUGAGGAUGUCCAAAGCCAGCAACGAUAAGCUGCCCACCUCCCUACCGAGACCUUUGGGUCUGCUCAGUGCUGCUGGGGCUGCAGUAAGAACCGCAGGCCUGUGGCUGUGUUCAAUUAGUGUGGGAGCAGGACAGAGAGCUGCAAGCUCAUGUCCAACAGGCUCAGCAACUCCAAUAUGUUACAUCCGCUGCACUUGGAGCCCUGGUGAGAUCCUACGUCACUCAGAAGGAAAAAUAUUCACAUUUGGAUCAUCCAGAUGCAAACCCAGGAGCUUUUCAGUGAAAUUUUGUCUGAAGACAUUGAAUUGCACUCAUUUAUGUCUUCUAAUAGCUGCCCAACCACAUUUCAUACGUAUUCAGCCUUGAGGUGGGUCCGCUGAAGCUCCUUUGCACUGCUUGUGAAAGCAUCAACCGCUCCUUAAAGGCUAAAUAAAUACAUAAUUGCUUUUCAGCAGUAUAACUUUCCCCAAAACAAUUCUUCAAUAAUUUCACAGAUAAACCCAUUGCCAUUUAAACUGUGCCUAAAACAUGAGCUUUUAUUCAGGGUGAAAUCCUGGCCCCAGUGAAAUCAAUGGGAGUUUUGCCAUUGACUUCAGUGGGGCCAAGAUUUCUCCCUUGAUGCACAUGAUAUAUUUUUCCUGACAUUUAGUGUGAUGAAACAGCCCUGGUUCUGAUUAGCCUGGGGUAUAAAUAGUAUCAGUCAACUGGAGCAAAAUUCAAAUCAAACCUCAGGCAUCUCUGCUGAUGCCGCUUUGUUUCUGAGUGCUGCCUUCUGGAGAAGAGACCCAAGUGGCCAUUUGGAGGCACGGACCUCAUCUGAAUCCUUCUGAUGGGUUGCAUUUAACCAUAAAUCAGCACAUGGGCAGCAAAGGGUUAGUAAUGACGGAGGCAUCUAUUCAUAUGUCUUGUGACAUACAUUUUUCCAGUGUGAAUUCUUCAUUAAAAUAUCCUUGAUGUCUCACAGCUUGUUACCAAAUUGGGCCUUGACUCGUAAGAUAAUUUAGAUGUGUCUAAAAUAUGCUUCUCAGAAAAGCUGCCUCCACAUUUAUGAGAACUACACACAAUCGUGUUAGGGAGAAAUCUGCCAGCUGUUUUGACCAGUUUAACAUGUUAAUAUCAUACGAAUGAGCACACAAAUAUAUUUUAACCUGUUGCUUUAUGCUUGAGUCUACAGUGCUGUAGGAGGGAGCAACACAACUUCUGGGACCUUGCAGUAAAUUGCACUGCAUUGCAAAGCAGAGAGAAAAACAUCUAAUCUUUCCCUAUAACAUGGAUUUUUUUUUUACCCAAGAGGGAAAAAAAAAAAACCUGAGAUGCUGUUGCUGGAAAGUAAGAACUAAAGGUGAGACAGCAGCAAUGAUGUGCUGUGGGGCUGUCCUCCUCAUCCACUACUUCCCCACACUACCCAGCCCCAUCACACAUGUGGGGCUGUGCUACGUCUGAGAGACACGAGAGAAAAUAAGGACCUGUUCUCUGCCUGCUAUCCAGGCAAAGCUCCCACUGGCAUCUCCGAACCCUUAAAUAGUACAGCAUGUUGCAAGUGGGAUUGUUUAUUGUGUUCAGUCGGAGCCGGCUACAGCCAGCUCUCACUUCUGACUCAGUGAUACAACAGCUCGCCCUCCCAUCGUCCCACACCACCACGCUCACUGCACCCCGUGCUGUUCCCACUUAAGCUCUGGGAUACAUGGAGCCCCAGCACCUUCUUGCUCUCCAUCUUCAGGAGCAGCAAGAUCCCAGGGGUGGCAAGCUAGAGACAUCCCAAAGGAUGGCACCAGGCUUAGCAAAGCAUUCGUACAAGGGGCUGCUUGGGACCAGCCUGUGCUGCACCUUAACCUAACUACCAGCACGGCCAAACCAUGGAGCAGCUCCUGAGUACUUAGGGCUGCAGGUAUUGUAUCUUGACCUGUUGUAGUGCAUCCAGAGGAGGGCCACAGAAAUGACACAAGGGAUGGAACACCUCCCUGUGAGGACAGGCGGAGAGAGCUGGAGCUGUGCAGCCUGGAGAAGAGAGGGCUCCAGGCAGACCUGAGAGUGGCCUGUCAGUAUCUAGAAGGGGUUAUAAGAAGGAGUGGGACAGACUCUUUGGCAGAGUCUGCUGUGAUAGGACAAGGGAGAAAGGUUUCAAACUAAAAGAGGAGAGAUUUAGACUGGUGAUAAGGAUGAAGUUUUUUGCAGUUUACUGUAGUGAGGCACUGGCACAGGUUGUACAGAGAGGUGGUGGAUGCCCCGUCCCUGCAGAAACCCAAGGUCAGGCUGGACAGGGCUCUGAACAACCGACUGAGCUGUAAAUGUCCCUGUUCAUUGCAGGGAGCUGGACCAGACUCAGGUCCAAUUCAAAUGAUUUUAUCAUUCCGUGAUUCUAUUGCUGCCAUUUAUUGGCUGUGCACACUCCCCUGCCUGCCCUGUCUGCACACAGCGCUUGGCAGUGCAGCAUGCAGCAGGUUGUGCUCGUGUUUCUGUGGAGUUAAAAUUCAUCUGGUAUCUUUCUCACUGAGUGCAGGUAGAUACACACUCUUGAGUGAAUGGGAUAUGCUCCACUUGUGAAGUGUAGAAGCAGGUCAAUAGACAACUUUCAAAAGGAACCAUUUAGGAUAAUUAAGCGGCACAUACACACCAGCAAGAGUUUAUUUUGUAUUGGAAGGCAUGUGGUUAGGGAAACAAUAGCAGUUUUUUCCCUGGAGAAUGUUAAUUAAAUUGAACACCCUGGAAAACUGAACUAUUCUUACCACAAAUCUAUAAAUCAAACUGUUCUGUUUGCUUAAUAUAAUGCUUUGCUAUUCUAGUCACACUGAAGUGGGCCAGCCGCACCAUGCCAAGAUAUUUCCAUGAUGAGCACAUUAGGAGCACUGAUUGACUAUAGAUCUUCUGGAUCUGAGGCCAAACCCGUAUCUCAUUUACUCCAGCAUAACUAAGAUGAAAAUCUGGCCCACGCUGUUCAGAUUAGUACAUAAAUAACAUGAAAGGUUUGCGAGCUCGGCAGCAGAUGUAUUGUGUACUUGUUGGUUGUACUGCAGGAGUCCCUGGCAGCUUUAGGAAUGGGCCAGGACUCCCCUGCACCGGGUGUUGUACAGAGGAACAAAGUUUGCCCUCAUGGAGAACCUGUGGGCAGAAAUCUACCUGCCCAGCUGCCCAUCUUCAUGCACAAGAAGUGUGCCCUAGAGGUACCAUGUAGAAGACACUCAGCUUGUUUCCCUCCCAGAGGGAAUGGGCAGAGAGGGGGCUCAGUCCUCCUGCAAUACCCCAGGUUGGAGGACGUUCCCUAUUUCCAUUACACAGAGCUAUCCCACUUGGAAGUAAUUUUAAGUGCAGUCUGCCAAACUGCCACCUGCAUCUCACAUAGAUGCCAAACAGACUUAAAAUAAUAAUAAUAAAAUAAAACAAAAUAAAGAAAUAAGAUGGAGGGCACGGGGAUGAGCAAGUCUCUGCCUUUUCAGGCACUGGGGAUUGCCAUGUGCAGAGCACAGAGCCCCACCAGUGCUCACUGGGGUGCAGCACACACCAGCAGUGAAUCCUUAAAUGGAAAUGGUCCAAGAGAUACAUCAUGGUUAAAGGUCUCUGUGGUGCUCAGAAGAUUUUCUGGGCCAUGUAUGGAUCAGAGUGCGUAUCAGUUGGCAGUGCAAGGAGUGAAGUGAUCUGGACACAAACACCAUAAUCAUCCCAGGGCCAGAUCUGGGAGGGUUUGACUCAUGGGCUCCAUUCUUAUAUUAGAUUAAUAACUUGGUGGUGGCAAUGGAUAGGCAGAAAAAAAAACAACAGCGUGGUAUUUGUGUCACCCUAAAGGCUAAGAAAUAUGCCAGUGUCAAACAAGGGCCAUGUGUAUGUGCACAACUUCAUCACAGCUCUGCCACUGAUCUGCACGUGGAAGGCAGCACAGGGGUUAGAACUAGAUGACCUUUGACAUCCCUUCCAAACCAAGCCAUACUAUGAUUCUAUGAUGAAACAACCAUUUUACAGCAUGUAGAUUUGCCAGUCCCUUGUAUAUAACCCAAGCAUGCUGCAUGCACCCAUUGCAAUGGUUAAGCUGCUACUGGGAUGCAGUUAUGUUUUGUGAGAAAGAAGAUGGCUCUUCUGCUUUAAGAUAAUGUCAUGAGAUGAACAUAGCUGGGACUUUCCACAACAUGUAAUUUAGCCUAAGAGAGUUAUUUUUAAUUCUGUCAUGUAUUAAUGCUUUGGGCUUUCUCGCAAGUAUGUUAUAUUAGGGGAGAUGCCUGGUAUAAACCACGGCUGCUCAGCCAGCCAUAAGUCACAGCACAGGAUAAAAAAUGAGCACUUCUUUCACGCUCGUGUUUGACCCCUCCACUAUUGUAUUGUCCCAGCUAACGAGCCGAACAGUUCUGCUGAUUUGUUAUAUGUAGCAAAUAUAGAAGCAACGAAACCCAUCUGUGUAAUUUACUCAUUGAUUUGGACUUGCAUCCAAGCGUGUUCUGAGUAGAUCAACUGUGUGCACAUGUGGGAGAGAACAGCUCAUCAGCAAUAAGAAAAGUCUGAAACUUACCGAUGUGAAGGAUUUAUGGGCAAUAACAAAAUACCCCAGGUCCUUGUGUGUGGGACCAGAUAUGGGGUCUGUCUCUGCCCAGUGAGGGCCACUGAUUGGAGCCAUAUGUUAGUAGUAAGAUCCCAAGGUCAUUUUCUAGGGAGGUUUCCCAAUGAUUAUCAUAGAAUGGUUGGGUUGGAAGGGACCUUAAUGACAGUGUAGUUCCAACCCACUGCUGUGGGCUGGCUGCCCCCCAGUAGAUCAGCUGCCCAGAGCCCCAUCCAACCUGGCCUUGGGCACCUCCAGGGAUGGGGCAUCCGCAGCUGCUCUGUUAGCCAAAACUUCACAGUUAAAAGAAAAAAGAAAAAGAUGGAAAACUGCAAUAAAAAGAAGUACAUUUGAGAAUGCUGCACGUCUUCUGACAUUAAAAAAAAAAAAAAAAAAAAAAAAGGAAAGAGAAAUACACCAUGGUGAUGCCGGUUCUAUGGAUCCCACCUGAAUUCCAAUUUCGGUAGAACAAGGUCGGUCUGGGGGCGGUCGUGGCUCCUAUCCUGAGCUCCUCACAGCACGGCAGGCUCAGAGCCACCUGUUAAAAAUCCCUGACAGCGUUUUCCUUCCAGCCACAGCGGGGCCUAUCUCCUCUCCCAGACGCAAUGUAACCUUGGGAGGGAAUUGUUUUGGAGCGAUCGUCCUCCGCCUGUGCGAGUUCCCUCCGCACACCUCCCAGACAUCGAAAUGCGGGACGGGGCCCUGCGCGGGGCCUCCCACCCAAACACCGCGCUUUGCUGCCGGUGGGACUUUUCCCCCCCGCUCUGUACCUUUUAUUUCUUUCCCCUCCUUUCCUGGCUGAGCGCUGGUGGCAGCAGAUUAACAGGUCAGCGGACUGGGGCCGCCAAUUGCUGCCAAUUACCUCCUCUCCGCUCGUUGCGCUGCAGCCUAAUGGCACCACUUAACGUGCGCUGCUCUCCCCCCACCCCGCCGGGUGACACCCAAUAAAGCCGUGAUUGAUGGAGAGGUGGGAGCGGGGCUCAUCGCUUCGGAGCCCGUAAGUCCUCUCCCCGUGUGGGUUCCCGGGGGCUGCGGGUCCGGCAGCGAUCACGGCGAGAAACAUCUGAGUCAACACGGCGUCUUUUACUUGCAGAACUGACAGCCCGUCCACUCGAACUGGUUUAAAUUAGUCGACGGCACAUUCUUUUCCUCCUCGGUGUUUUGCUUUACGCCCCUCCACCUCUCCUUUUUUUUUUUUAAUUUUAUUUCAUUUUUAUUAUUUUUUUCUUAAUAGGAAUAUAUAAUUGCUGUAAUUGAGCCGUCUGAGUGCGAAACGGCGCUGAGCGGCCGUUGGCUGAGCGGCGACACGGGACGGGACGGACACCGGUGCCCCCCGGGGGGUGGGGGGGGGUCGUCAGGGUGGGCCCCGCCCCCCGGAGGUGUGCGGAUGAGGUCAUGGAAAUCAAUGGCACACGUGUAGAGAGCCGGAGCCCUGCGUUUGCGGCAGGGAUGAUUAAACGGAGCGGCUCGGGAGAGCUCCCGUAUGAAUAUUUCAUGCUAACUGAUGCAAUCCCCCCGAAGGUACAAGAGCCUUGCUUAAUUAAACUGGUGUCGGCGUCGCCUCGUGCUCCUCGUCCAAUCGAGACGCGGCACCCGGCGGGGCUGCGGGGAGCGGAGGGGUCGGUGUCGGUGUCUCCUCGGCUCCGGGUUUGCCCCACUCCCUGGGCGGAAAGAAACCACCACGAAGAGCCUUUUCCCCACGUUCCGGCGGCGCUGCCCCCGGCUCCGCUCCGGCUCUGCGCACCGACAGACGGGGCCGGGGGGACACGCGGGGCUGAGCCGUUCCUGCGGCGGCGGAGGGGCUCCGGCACACGGGGACAGCCCGGUGCUCCCAGCGGGGUCCUCGGAACCGCUCGUAUUUACGGCAGAAAAUCGAUAAGGGAAGAAAACCGAACCCAACCUUUGGGGACAUUGCCACAAUGGUGAAAAGAAAGAGGAUUUCCGAAAGCCCUUCACUCUCCCAAAGGCAAAUCGGCGUGAAUUUCCCAGCCGGCCCGUGCUGAACUCGCGACCCUUCUCCAUGCCUGUGUGACAACGGCUGUGUGACAUCUUCAUUAAUUUCCACACUGCAACCUUGUGCUUUCCUUUCACACGUGGCAUUUCCUUUCGCUGCCUCUGUUUCUUUCCUUUUCUCUCUUUCCUUUCAUUUCUUUCUCUCUUUUUUUCUGUUUCAUUCUUCUCUUUCUUCUAUUUCUUUCUCUUUCCCUCCCUUUCUUUCCUCUGUUUCUCCCUACGCCUUUAUCACACAUUUCUUCUGUCUCUUUUCUCUCUUCUUCUGCUCUCUUUCUGUCAUCUUUUCUAUUUCUCUCUCUUCCUUAUAGAUCAGCGCUGCAGCCCCGAUCUGACAUUAUUUCUCACUCCCCGGGAAGUAAAACGCCAUAACGUUGUUCUUAUGAAAAGCCCCUUUCGCGUUUUGCCUGAACAGCCUUUCCAAACCCCGUCUUCCUCUUUCGUUCGCUUUUUUGUCACCCCGAGAAGUGCGGUGUGGCAGCUCAGGGCAGGCAGUCACCGGGACCAGGGGCUGACACAGGAGGGAGCGCCUGGCCAAAGGCUCUGAGCGUCACAUCCGUGUCCCACUAUCCCAUCACCUGCCACCCCAUCACAUCUCGUCCCUAACGCAUCUCAUCCCGAGCUCACGUUGCCAAAUAAAAUAGCCUCGAUCGGCUGGGUUACAAAUGAGACCACGGGAGGGUUAUCCGGGAAUCUCUCACUCUCGCAGCCCACAGGAAUGCACUUUCUUCCCUGAUAGCGUCUUUAUCAAAAGAUAAAACAACCGUGGCUGCACCCGCUGCCCGGCCCUAUGCGGAGAGCCGCACUAUGCGAGCUCAGCACAACCAUCACCGGGUCGUUCCGUUACUGACACAGCGAUGGAUCGAACCCACAGAAAACGGGAAUUCGGUCACUCCUCACCUCGGGGAGGAUCGGAGCGGCCGCUUCCCGGCGCUCGGGACGUGACAGCGGAGUUACAUGUUACCUACACGGCGUGUUCGGGGCCGCGUCCCCGGUACUCAUUCAGUCAGCACUCAGUCGAGGGCUGAAAUUGUUUUGGAUUCUUCCUAUGUGGUCUGGUUGUUUUGUUUGGCUUUUUUUUUUUUUUUCCUUUAACUGAACUAUUUAUACCCUCCUGAUAUAAUAACAAUAACAAUGACAAUAAUAAAGAUAGUGAUAAUGAUAAUGAUGAUAAGGGUGAAUCCGAGCGCUGGGGCUGCCCGGGGUUGGCUGAGCCACUGCUGAUACCCCGCUCUGACAAAGGCGUCUCGAGUGGGGCUGACAGCGGCCGCGUCCCCCCCCGUGGGGUUCCGGGCGGAUUUCCCGCAGGUGCCGAAGGGCUGUUGAAGGUAUCGGAGGUGUGCGGGAGGCAGAGACCGGCGCUCCCCAUCCCGCUCCCGGUGCGUGGCCAGGCUGUAAAUGGAGAUUGGUUCACACAGCCAUGAAGACAGCACCAAGGGUCCGGCUUAACAGCAAAGAAUGCUUGAGCCGGGUUCCUCCUUGCAGCCCCCCAUCCCCUUCCCUAAGCACGUCGAGCUCCGGACCUCCGCCGUCAGCCCUCCACCCUCCCCUCCACCUUCAGGGCUACUUUUGCUCCUCUCGCCCCCUUGCAGAACCUCCCCCGAACCCAAAGCCGCUCCCCGGGGGCAGAACCCGUCCUCUCCCCGCGGACCCAUUGGUUUGGGAGCCCCCUCCCCAGGGUGGCACAGACAUCGGAUCGCGAGUGGAGCAUCGCGGAGGGAACCCCACAUCAGUGGGACCAGAGCCUUUCUACCUGAGGUGGUGUCCCCUCCCACCUUCUAAAAUGAUGUAACAGUGCGGACCGCUUCUCCGAGAGCCCCUGUGCGUCCCGACCGUCUGUACCGCGGCCACCCCUCAUUAUUUUGGCGUCCCGGGGACAGCCUCGGUCCAUCAUCCGUCGGUGCGGCCCUGGGGAAAGGAGAGGGAUUAACGCGGAGGGCACCGAGCCGAGCAUCGGUGGAAAAGAGCGGGUUUUGUUUUAGGACAUCAAAAAGGAGGGACAGAAAGGGAUGGACACCACCUUCCAACACACUUUCCUUGGCGGGUGACAAAAACUCCUGGCGUGAGCUGAAUGCGUAAUUAGCCCAACUGAAAUUCCCUAUCUCAUUCGAUAUUUGGUGCUCAGCAGAAGCUAGCCAUCGUAAAUAAUAUACAAAGUAAGAAACCUAAUCCAGCAGGCUAGAAUGUUUAAUUCAUCAUUAUGCGAGCUAAUUGGAAGGUGAUUAUAUGGUAAUUGCUCAUUAGUGGUGUAUAUUUAUCGCUGUACCUUAUGUCAAGGCCAUGGGAAUUGUGUAGAGUCUGUUCUCUCAUUUCAAGGAUCAGUUUCAGACGCAGGAGCGGAGCGGGCCGGAUCGGGUUCUCCUGACGUCAGGCCGGGCCGCUCCGUGCCCAGCGCCGCUAUAAAGCCGCUCCCGC
ensembl:lncRNA